UGGAGUUCAAAUUUGUGAAAACAGGAGUUCAUUCCACGUGUGAGCUUAUUUUGAUGGUCAAUGUAUAGACACUAACAGUCUCCGAAGACCGGAUAGAAUGUUAGGUGAAGUGUGUGUAAGUAGCUUGAGGUGAAUUGGCCUCUUCGUUAGUAAGAAGUUCGGUGUUCUAUGUCGCAAGGAAAUGUUUAUUAUCAACAAAGAUGUAUAAAUAAUACACUCGAGGGUGCACUUUCUUUUUCUUCCAACACGUUGUCAUCUUUCUUCUAAGGGGAACGUUGCAGAAUAAUCGUGUUCAGUUGCUUCAAAAACUUCUUUUCUUGAAGGAGCGGACAGGGAGUUCACUUCAUUUAUUUCCAAGAGCUACUUGGGAAGGCUCACUUUCAAUCUACCUUGCUAAGUAUUUGUCGAACUUUUUCUGGUGGACACAUGAACCUACCAAUAACAGAACUUGAUCAUUCCGGAAGGUUAAUGGCAUGGUAAAGUAAUUUCUGACAGCUCAUGCAUCAUUACGGAGUAAGGAUGGACAUCAUCGCUAAGGUCGAGUGAAAAGAAAUGGUUGUGAAAGGUUAUAUAUCUAGAAAUGAGGAGAAGUUCAUACACAUUCGAGUCACGUGUGUGUUUUUUUUAAAUUCACAUAAGGUACUAGAAGUGUAAUAUUACUCUACUACCAAUUGUUCACAAACUUGUGUAUCAUUUUUAAAAGUCAGUCAGGCAAUUUUGCAAUUGAAAAUCAUAUAUUAUAAUGGUUUGACUCGA